rnacentral:rRNA from 1 species
UAACGGGGCGGUCCUCUAUGAGGCCCGUCAUUGUAUUGAGUAAAACUCAAAAUAUUUAACGAAACCAAUUGGAGGGCAAGUCUGGUGCCAGCAGCCGCGGUAAUUCCAGCUCCAAAAGCAUAUAUUAAAGUUGUUGCGGUUAAAAAGCUCGUAGUUGGAUCCAUGACCUCGGAGGGCGGUCCCCCACUGGGUGCGUACUGCUGCUCCGAGUCCUAUCUGUCAGUUUGUCUGUGUUGCCUUUAAUCGGGUGGCACAGGUGACUGACGUGUUUACUUUGAAAAAAUUAGAGUGUUUAAAGCAGGCGUUGAAUGCCUGAAUAGUGGUGCAUGGAAUAAUGGAAUAGGAUCUCGGUUCUAUUUUGUUGGUUCAAGAGCAUGAGAAAAUGAUUAAGAGGGACAGACGGGGGCAUUUGUAUUGCUGCGUUAGAGGUGAAAUUCUUGGAUCGUAGCAAGACAAACUACUGCGAAGGCAUUUGCCAAGAAUGUUUUCAUUAAUCAAGAACGAAAGUUAGAGGUUCGAAGGCGAUCAGAUACCGCCCUAGUUCUAACCGUAAACCAUGUCGACUAGCUAUCUGUCAGCGUUAAUAAUGACCUGACAGGCAGCUUACCGGAAACGAAAGUUUCUCGAUUCCGGGGGUAGUAUGGUUGCAAAGCUGAAACUUAAAGGAAUUGACGGAAGGGCACCACCAGGAGUGGAGCCUGCGGCUUAAUUUGACCCAACACGGGAAAACUCACCCGGCCCGGACACCGUAAGGAUUGACAGAUUAAUAGCUCUUUCUCGAUUUGGUGAUUGGUGGUGCAUGGCCGUUCUUAGUUGGUGGAGCGAUUUGUCUGGUUAAUUCCGAUAACGAACGAGAUUCUAACUUACUAACUAGUUCCACGAUCCUUGUGGUCCUAAAUACUUCUUAGAGGGAAAACCGGCAUUUAGUCGAACGAGAUUGAGCAAUAACAGGUCUGUGAUGCCCUUAGAUGUCCGGGGCUGCACGCGUGCUACACUGAAGGAAUCAGCGUGUUUUUCCCUUGCCUGUAAUGGCUGGGUAACCGACUGAAUCUCCUUCGUGUUAGGGAUAGAUCAUUGAAACUAGUGAUCUUCAACUUGGAAUUCCUGGUACGUUUGAGUCAUAAGCUCAAGCAGAUUACGUCCCUGCCCUUUGUACACACCGCCCGUCGCUACUACCGACUGGCAAUAUCUUUGAGACACUUGGAGCGGCCGUGAGCUACCCUAACCGGUAACUCACGGCUGCGAAAAGGUU